UCCUACGGGAGGCAGCAGUAGGGAAUUUUCGGCAAUGGACGGAAGUCUGACCGAGCAACGCCGCGUGAAUGAUGAAGUAUUUCGGUAUGUAAAGUUCUUUUAUUUGGGAAGAAAAAACAAAUUGACGGUACCAAAUGAAUAAGCUCCGGCUAAAUACGUGCCAGCAGCCGCGGUAAUACGUAGGGGGCAAGCGUUAUCCGGAAUUAUUGGGCGUAAAGGGUGCGUAGGCGGGUUAUCAAGUCUUUGGUUAAAAUGCGGUGCUCAACGCCGUAGUGCCAAAGAAACUGAUAGUCUAGAGUAUGGUAGAAGUGAGUGGAACUCCAUGUGUAGCGGUAAAAUGCGUAAAUAUAUGGAAGAACACCAGUGGCGAAGGCGGCUCACUAGGCCAAUACUGACGCUGAGACACGAAAGCGUGGGGAGCAAACAGGAUUAGAUACCCUGGUAGUCCACGCCCUAAACGAUGAGUACUAAGUGUAGCCAGAAGGCUGUGCUGAAGUUAACGCAUUAAGUACUCCGCCUGAGUAGUACGUACGCAAGUAUGAAACUUAAAGGAAUUGACGGGAUCCCGCACAAGCGGUGGAGCAUGUUGUUUAAUUCGACGAUACGCGAAGAACCUUACCAGGUCUUGACAUACUCGGCAAAUCUAUAGAGAUAUAGAAGAGGUUAACCGGGUUACAGGUGGUGCAUGGUUGUCGUCAGCUCGUGUCGUGAGAUGUUAGGUUAAGUCCUGCAACGAGCGCAACCCUUAUUGCUAGUUACCAUCAUUAAGUUGGGGACUCUAGCGAGACUGCCGGUGAUAAACCGGAGGAAGGUGGGGAUGACGUCAAAUCAUCAUGCCCUUUAUGACCUGGGCUACAAACGUGCUACAAUGGCUGACACAAAGAGAAGCGAGCUCGCGAGAGUAAGCAAACCUCAGAAAAGCAGUCUCAGUUCGGAUUGAAGUCUGCAACUCGACUUCAUGAAGUUGGAAUCGCUAGUAAUCGCGAAGCAGAGUGUCGCGGUGAAUACGUUCCCGGGAUUUGUACACACCGCCCGUCAAACCAUGAGAGUUUGUAAUACCCGAAGCCGGUGGCCGAACCGCAAGGAAGGAGCCGUCUAAGGUAGGACAGAUGAUUGGGGUUAAGUCGUAACAAGGUAUCCCUACGAGAACGUGGGGAUG
rnacentral:rRNA from 1 species